rnacentral:rRNA from 1 species
UGGCGGACGGGGGAGUAAUGUCUGGGGAAACUGCCCCGAUGGAGGGGGAUAACUACUGGAAACGGUAGCUAAUACCGCAUAACGUCGCAAGACCAAAGAGGGGACCUUCGGGCCUCUUGCCAUCGGAUGUGCCCAGAUGGGAUUAGCUAGUAGGUGGGGUAACGGCUCACCUAGGCGACGAUCCCUAGCUGGUCUGAGAGGAUGACCAGCCACACUGGAACUGAGACACGGUCCAG